rnacentral:piRNA from 1 species
UCAAAGAUAAUUCCUGGGCUCCUCUUGC